rnacentral:rRNA from 1 species
UACGUAGGGUGCGAGCGUUACUCGGAAUUACUGGGCGUAAAGCGUGCGCAGGCGGUUUUGUAAGCCAGAUGUGAAAUCCCCGGGCUUAACCUGGGAACUGCAUUUGUGACUGGCAAGCUAGAGUAUGGCAGAGGGGGGUAGAAUUCCACGUGUAGCAGUGAAAUGCGUAGAGAUGUGGAGGAAUACCGAUGGCGAAGGCAGCCCCCUGGGCCAAUACUGACGCUCAUGCACGAAAGCGUGGGGAGCAAACAGG